rnacentral:rRNA from 1 species
GAUGAACGCUGACAGAAUGCUUAACACAUGCAAGUCGAUGGGGAAGUGGUGCUUGCACCCUGGCAACCAUGGCGGACGGGUGAGUAACGCGUAAGGGACUUACCUGCAGGACUGGGAUAACAGGGGGAAACUCCUGACAAGACCGGAUAAUGUCAUGGAGCUGCAUGGCUUUAUGAUGAAAGGAGACGCCUGCGGAGAGCCUUGCGUCCUAUUAGCUAGUUGGUGAGGUAAUGGCUCACCAAGGCGAAGAUAGGUAGCCGGCCUGAGAGGGUGGACGGCCACAAGGGGACUGAGAUACGGCCCUGACGCCUACGGGAGGCAGCAGUGGGGAAUAUUGGACAAUGGGGGCAACACUGAUCCAGCAAUUCUGUGUGCACGAAGAAGGUUUUCGGAGUGUAAAGUGCUUUCAGCAGGGAAGAAGUAAGUGACGGUACCUGCAGAAGAAGCGACGGCUAAAUACGUG